CAUUAUAUACUUAUUUAUGUUCAACAGUGUACUUAUAAAAAAUAGCUCUCUUCCAGUAGAGAUAGGUGAAAUAAAAUUCCAAUCUUACUCUCUUUUGGCAAACACUGGUAAGGACAAACUGAACUGGCUAAAAAAAAAAUACUUACGGAUACAACAGGAUUUACGUUUUUAAUUCACAAUAGUAAUGUACGUUACAGACAGGUUGUCAAUUUGCUCGACAGUGUAGCAGGUGAGUCACAAGGGGCCGGUGCAUACUCAAAUGAAAUUAUUCGCCAUUGGACGAUAAGCCGAUUUCGCCUAACCUCGUUCAAUCAGAGCUUCGAGUCUCGCUGCACUGGCGUAGAUUUGUGGCUCGACAGAUACGGCUUGCUUUUGAAAAAUGCACCAUAUUUCAUACAUAAAAACUGUGAGCUGGUGAUAAAGUUUCAUAUGAUUGAAGUCGACAGUUCAUCUGAUUAUGAUGAUUUGAACGUGCCACGCUGUCGGUUAAUGGAUGAAUAAUACUUACUCCCGGUCCCGACCAUAAUGGAAUCUUGAAUACACUUCAGAAUUCACAUUAUUAUGACAUCUCGAGUGUUUCACGACAGUUCUCGAACUUCAGACAGUACCUAAUAAGCUUACAAUAACAUUUAUUGCGAAUCAGAAUAAUCAUGGGAGUCACGUCCAGCUUUCAUUUGCGGUGUACCUACUCGUGUACCGGUCUAUUGGUUCAAGUCCAGGGUCGGGCAAGUGCUCUCGUUACCGGCUCAGCAUUUGCGGUUCGAACCACUCAUUCAAAUGAGCUGGGGUAGUUUACCCGCUGUAUGUAUAUUAAUAUAGCAAGAACUGGGAAUUUACUUCCAAUACAUUUUCACUGAAAAGUAUCAGUAAUAACCUAUGUUCUAUUUAGAAUUGCGAAAAAAGAUGAAAUGUUUUAAAUUUUAUGUGA